AGAGUUUGAUCCUGGCUCAGGAUGAACGCUGGCGGCGUGCUUAACACAUGCAAGUCGAACGGGAAAUAUUUCAUUGAGACUUCGGUGGAUUUGAUCUAUUUCUAGUGGCGGACGGGUGAGUAACGCGUGGGUAACCUGCCUUAUACAGGGGGAUAACAGUCAGGAAUGGCUGCUAAUACCGCAUAAGCGCACAGAGCUGCAUGGCUCAGUGUGAAAAACUCCGGUGGUAUAAGAUGGACCCGCGUUGGAUUAGCUUGUUGGUGGGGUAACGGCCCACCAAGGCGACGAUCCAUAGCCGGCCUGAGAGGGUGAACGGCCACAUUGGGACUGAGACACGGCCCAGACUCCUACGGGAGGCAGCAGUGGGGAAUAUUGCACAAUGGGGGAAACCCUGAUGCAGCGACGCCGCGUGAAGGAAGAAGUAUCUCGGUAUGUAAACUUCUAUCAGCAGGGAAGAUAGUGACGGUACCUGACUAAGAAGCCCCGGCUAACUACGUGCCAGCAGCCGCGGU
rnacentral:rRNA from 1 species